CAGCGUUACCAUGGAUACCGGGCGGCAGCUCAACUGACAAGCAGCACAACUCCGUCUCUAGCUGUUGUUUUCACUACUUUCAGUAUUGUUAGCUCCAACCCCAAUUAAUCAGAUCUGAGCAGCUGACCAAACAUCACCAGAAACUCUGCAGAACAUUGGUCUGGUCUGGUCUGGAUGCCACUGUUGCUAAAGCAUUCAAAGUAAAAACGUCAGUCGUGGCUCAAUAGUCUGGGGUUGGGAUGGUGGAAGGAGCAGAAGAACCAGAAGAUCGGAGAUCAGGAAGAGAUCUAUUGGUGCCCCUGAGGGAACUGAUUUAAUGUGUAAAAUU